GUGAGGAAUAUUGGUCAAUGGGCGGGAGCCUGAACCAGCCAAGUCGCGUGAAGGAAGAAGGAUCUAUGGUUCGUAAACUUCUUUUGCAGGGGAAUAAAGUGCAGGACGUGUCCUGUUUUGUAUGUACCCUGAGAAUAAGGAUCGGCUAACUCCGUGCCAGCAGCCGCGGUAAUACGGAGGAUCCGAGCGUUAUCCGGAUUUAUUGGGUUUAAAGGGUGCGUAGGUGGUUUGAUAAGUCAGCGGUGAAAGUUUGCAGCUUAACUGUAAAAAUGCCGUUGAAACUGGCGGACUGGAGUGUAAAUGAGGUAGGCGGAAUGCGUGGUGUAGCGGUGAAAUGCAUAGAUAUCACGCAGAACUCCGAUUGCGAAGGCAGCUUACUAAGCUACAACUGACACUGAAGCACGAAAGCGUGGGGAUCAAACAGGAUUAGAAACCCGGGUAGUCC
rnacentral:rRNA from 1 species